rnacentral:rRNA from 1 species
UACAGAGGGUGCAAGCGUUAAUCGGAAUUACUGGGCGUAAAGCGCGCGUAGGCGGAUAAAUAAGUUGGGUGUGAAAUCCCUGGGCUUAACCUAGGAAUUGCAUUCAAAACUGUUUGUCUAGAGUACAAGAGAGGAGGGCAGAAUUUCCGGUGUAGCGGUGAAAUGCGUAGAUAUCGGAAGGAAUACCAGUGGCGAAGGCGGCCCUCUGGAUUGUUACUGACGCUGAGGUGCGAAAGCGUGGGGAGCAAACGGG